GACGAACGCUGGCGGCGUGCCUAAUACAUGCAAGUAGAACGCAGUUCCGAACGGGUGAGUAACGCGUAGGUAACUGCCUCAAAUCGGGGGAUAACCAUCGGAAACGAUAGCUAAUACCGCAUUCUGGCACCUGGACCUGCGUUGUAUUAGCUAGUUGGUGAGGUAAAGGCUCACCAAGGCGACGAUACAUAGCCGACCUGAGAGGGUGAUCGGCCACACUGGGACUGGUGAACGGCCCAGACGCCUUCGGGUGGCAGCAGUAGGGAAUCGUGGGCAAUGGACGGAAGUCUGGCCGAGCAACGCCGGGGGAGUGUAGAAGGUAUUCAGAUUGUAAAGCUCUGUUGUUAGAGAAGCGGUAACUAUCCAGAAAGAGACGGCUAACUACGUGCCAGCAGCCGCGGUAAUUC
rnacentral:rRNA from 1 species